GUCUACAGCCAAACCACACUGAACACACCUGAUCUCGUCUGAUCUCGGAAGUUAAGCAGGGUCGGGCCUGGUUAGUACUUGGAUAAGAGGAAUCCUCAGGGAAGAUUAACAGAGGGAUGUCAACA
ensembl:rRNA 5S_rRNA 5S ribosomal RNA